UACAGGGGGGGCAAGCGUUGUUCGGAAUUACUGGGCGUAAAGGGUUCGUAGGUGGCUUGCUAAGUCACACGUGAAAUCCCUCAGCUUAACUGGGGAACUGCGUGUGAAACUGGCGAGCUUGAGGGUAGGAGAGGAAUGCGGAAUUCCAGGUGUAGCGGUGGAAUGCGCAGAUAUCAGGAGGAACACCGGUGGCGAAGGCGGGUCUCUGGGCAGUAACUGACGCUGAGGAGCGAAAGCGUGGGGAGCGAACAGG
rnacentral:rRNA from 1 species